AUUGAACGCUGGCGGCAUGCCUUACACAUGCAAGUCGAACGGCAGCACGGGAGCAAUCCUGGUGGCGAGUGGCGAACGGGUGAGUAAAGUAUCGGAACGUGCCCAGUCGUGGGGGAUAACGUAGCGAAAGUUACGCUAAUACCGCAUACGAUCUAUGGAUGAAAGCGGGGGAUCGCAAGACCUCGCGCGAUUGGAGCGGCGGAUAUCAGAUUAGGUAGUUGGUGGGGUAAAGACUCACCAAGCCGACGAUCUGUAGCUGGUCUGAGAGGACGACCAGCCACACUGGGACUGAGACACGGCCCAGACUCCUACGGGAGGCAGCAGUGGGGAAUUUUGGACAAUGGGCGAAAGCCUGAUCCAGCCAUGCCGCGUGCAGGAUGAAGGCCUUCGGGUUGUAAACUGCUUUUGUACGGAACGAAAAGGUUUGGCCUAAUAAGCUGAGCUCAUGACGGUACUGUAAGAAUAAGCACCGGCUAACUACGUGCCAGCCGCCGCCGUAA
rnacentral:rRNA from 1 species